GAAACGUUCAAGGCGAUACAAAAGUAAUGCACGUCACGUACACAUGUAUCUACAUGCAAUAACAUACGAACAGAUUUAACAGUAUAAACUUUUUUAUUUAUCAUUAUAGUUUGGGAAUUAAAGUGUUUUAAAGGGAAUAUUUAACUGCAAAGUGAUAAAAACUUUGAGGCUGCACGUGAUUGCCUGAAUAUACAGAGAGAUUUUAACGAAUAAAAAAUAGUUUUGGAAGAUGGGAGACUUAUCUUGUCUUUUAUGCGCUCCCUGUGUCCGAACUUCCAGAAUCUCUCUAUCUUAUGAAGUAUUUUAGAUUAUUCCGAAAUUUGGUAUGUACAUACAAGAAGUAUACGUUCUACGUGGAAUAUUUAAUCAGGCUCUUGAUAUAUCAGAAAGAAAAUUUAUAGAAACUUUGCAAAAGUUGAUUUAUUAUUAUCAAAAUUAAUAGAAAUUUAAUUAAUGUUCAUUUAUUACCUUUGUUAGGUCGCGUAACACUCUACCUGGACCGGGCCACACACCGCGGACAAGAUGGCAACCAGAUGUCUUCGGAUACUUACUGCGUACCCUCAAUAGUCUCAAGUCGCGAGAAUUGAUUGUAAUUUCAAUAAAAAAAAAAAAAAUAGUCUCAAGUACCCUCCAUAAAUCUCAGGAAUUUCCUAGUCGAGGUCCUUCACACCGAACAAACAUCUAUUUUCCGAAUCAUUUCUAAAGACCAUUGUCUACUACGGCUUGACAAGGGAAAGUUAGUUUUUCUAACGUACGAUGCAACUUUCCUCCUACUAACCACUUUCUAUCGAGGGCGGCUAAGACCCUUCCUAGUCCACCAACCUUCGUUUAACCAAUUAACAACGAAGCCUAUUUCCCCCACUCUCUUAGCCAAAAUCGUCACCAACAAAUCCGAUGGUCCCGUGCGCUAGACACACCCAUCCUUGGCUUUCCUCCGUCACAGCAUCGUCUCCGAACAUCACUGAUUUUCUAUCCUUCGAACAGUCAACAUCCUUCGACCGGGUUUACACCCGAAAAUCAGUCACUCACUCAUCUUAUACAUACGCACCAGCGUAACUAUCUUCUUUACAAGUUGUUAGAAUAAACGGGAUUUAUAACUUACUAUACAGUGUUACAUUCAUUUUGUGUUACACCGAAGUUGUUGGAUUGUGAAAACAUAUAAUAACCUGUUAGUGGCAGCGUUAUCUUCAAUUUAACUACCCCUAUUGUAAUAUCGUAGAAUAGAUUUGAAUUAGAGAUCGGUUGAAAAUAGAAAAAAAACCGUGUACGUCGUCCUUCUGUGGUUCGUUUACAUUUAAGAGCGCCUAUGUGACUAAAGUCACCUAGUUCUUACAGAGAUAUGAGAAAAACAAGAAACAACGUUAGAGCAGAAGGACGGUUUCGUGUUUCAAGGGCGGACGACCGAGAGGUCAGAGUAUGCGAGUCGAAAAGCGAGUGUGUUGCGAGAGUCAGAGCUAAUUGAGUCGUUGAAGAGUAGAGUCGUUAGAGGUUUCGAGUUGUCGAAGAGUAGAGUCGUUAGAGGUUUCGAGUCGUCGAAGAGUAGAGUCGUGAGAAUUGAUAGAGUUGUUAGAGAGAGAGUGUGUGUGUGUUAGAUUCGUUGUGACGAGAGUGAUCAAAUAACUGUAAAGUUAUUUGAUAUAGAUACGAGUAUUGCAUUUAGUUCCGUUAAAUAAAUAUCGUUCUCUGUCCAAUUUAUAUCUGUAUAUUCAGUUUAAUAUUAAUAAAUUGUAAGUAAUCGGAAAAAAAUUUCUAUCCUUAUUUUUCGAUAUUACACUAUUAUCCCAAAAGAAAUAAGGGAUCGAACGAUUCGCGGCGUCGAUUAGCAAAUCGUAACGGGAAUUUACGACUCCCGUUGGCGCGCUUCUUCGAGAUCGUGUCUCCCCGCGAACGUGCGAAAACAACCUUUACAUAUCUAAGUUGUGCAGAUUUGACGUGCGUAAGAAAUUAGUGUCGUUUCAAAGUUACAUCACAUGCAUUUUAAGGUUAUAAUUCUUGACGUACAAAGCAAUAUAAAUUUGAGCUGUCUCUUAUCUCCACAAUAAGAAAAUUUAACUUUACUUUUCGUAUACGAAAAAUGAUAUUUAU